rnacentral:rRNA from 1 species
GACGAACGCUGGCGGCGUGCUUAACACAUGCAAGUCGAACGGAGUGCCUAUGAAAGAGAUUUCGGUCAAUGGAUUAGGUUACUUAGUGGCGGACGGGUGAGUAACGCGUGAGGAACCUGCCUUUCAGAGGGGGACAACAGUUGGAAACGACUGCUAAUACCGCAUAACAUAUAGCCAUCGCAUGGUGGUUAUAUCAAAGAUUUAUCGCUGAAAGAUGGCCUCGCGUCUGAUUAGCUAGUUGGUGAGGUAACGGCUCACCAAGGCGACGAUCAGUAGCCGGACUGAGAGGUUGGCCGGCCACAUUGGGACUGAGAUACGGCCCAG